GGUUAAGUUAGAAAGGGCGCACGGUGGAUGCCUUGGCACUAGGAGCCGAAGAAGGACGGGACUAACACCGAUAUGCUUUGGGGAGCUGUACGUAAGCGUUGAUCCAGAGAUUUCCGAAUGGGGGAACCCACUAUCUUUAGUCGGAUAGUAUCCUUACGUGAAUACAUAGCGUGAGGAAGGCAGACCCAGGGAACUGAAACAUCUAAGUACCUGGAGGAAGAGAAAGAAAAAUCGAUUUCCUGAGUAGCGGCGAGCGAAACGGAAAGAGCCCAAACCAAGAAGCUUGCUUCUUGGGGUUGUAGGACACUCUAUACGGAGUUACAAAAGAAAGUUAUAAAUGAAGCGGUCUGGAAAGGCCCGCCAAAGACGGUAACAGCCCGGUAGUUGAAAUGGCUUUCCCUCCAGAGUGGAUCCUGAGUACGGCGGAACACGUGAAAUUCCGUCGGAAUCCGGGAGGACCAUCUCCCAAGGCUAAAUACUCCCUAGUGACCGAUAGUGAACCAGUACCGUGAGGGAAAGGUGAAAAGCACCCCGGAAGGGGAGUGAAACAGUUCCUGAAACCGUGUGCCUACAAGUAGUUAGAGCCCGUUAAUGGGUGAUAGCGUGCCUUUUGUAGAAUGAACCGGCGAGUUACGAUUUGUUGCAAGGUUAAGCGGAAAAAGCGGAGCCGUAGCGAAAGCGAGUCUGAAUAGGGCGCAUAAGUAACAGGUCGUAGACCCGAAACCAGGUGAUCUACCCAUGUCCAGGAUGAAGGUAAGGUAAUACUUACUGGAGGUCCGAACCCACGCACGUUGAAAAGUGCGGGGAUGAGGUGUGGGUAGCGGAGAAAUUCCAAUCGAACUUGGAGAUAGCUGGUUCUCUCCGAAAUAGCUUUAGGGCUAGCCUCGAGGUAAAGAGUCAUGGAGGUAGAGCACUGUUUGGACUAGGGGCCCUUCUCGGGUUACCGAAUUCAGAUAAACUCCGAAUGCCAUGUACUUAUACUCGGGAGUCAGACUGCGAGUGAUAAGAUCCGUAGUCGAAAGGGAAACAGCCCAGACCACCAGUUAAGGUCCCCAAAUAUAUGUUAAGUGGAAAAGGAUGUGGGGUUGCUUAGACAACCAGGAUGUUGGCUUAGAAGCAGCCACCAUUGAAAGAGUGCGUAAUAGCUCACUGGUCGAGUGACCCCGCGCCGAAAAUGUACCGGGGCUAAACAUAUUACCG
rnacentral:rRNA from 1 species